AACGAACGCUGGCGGCAUGCCUAACACAUGCAAGUCGAACGAGACCUUCGGGUCUAGUGGCGCACGGGUGCGUAACGCGUGGGAACCUGCCCUUAGGUUCGGAAUAACUCCCCGAAAGGGGUGCUAAUACCGGAUAAUGUCUUCGGACCAAAGAUUUAUCGGCUUUGGAUGGGCCCGCGUUGGAUUAGCUAGUUGGUAGGGUAAAAGCCUACCAAGGCGACGAUCCAUAGCUGGUCUGAGAGGAUGAUCAGCCACACUGGGACUGAGACACGGCCCAGACUCCUACGGGAGGCAGCAGUGGGGAAUAUUGGACAAUGGGCGAAAGCCUGAUCCAGCAAUGCCGCGUGAGUGAUGAAGGCCUUAGGGUUGUAAAGCUCUUUUAACCGGGAUGAUAAUGACAGUACCGGGAGAAUAAGCUCCGGCUAACUCCGUG
rnacentral:rRNA from 1 species